GUGUUUGCUUCGGCAGCACAUAUACUAAAAUUGGAACGAUAUAGAGAAGAUUAGCAUGGCCCCCGCACAUGGAUGACACGCUAACGCUUUGUGAAGUGUUUCAUAUUUUG